UACGAAGGGGGCUAGCGUUGCUCGGAAUCACUGGGCGUAAAGGGUGCGUAGGCGGGUCUUUAAGUCAGGGGUGAAAUCCUGGAGCUCAACUCCAGAACUGCCUUUGAUACUGAAGAUCUUGAGUGCGGGAGAGGUGAGUGGAACUGCGAGUGUAGAGGUGAAAUUCGUAGAUAUUCGCAAGAACACCAGUGGCGAAGGCGGCUCACCGGCCCGAUACUGACGCUGAGGCACGAAAGCGUGGGGAGCAAACAGG
rnacentral:rRNA from 1 species